rnacentral:rRNA from 1 species
AACGAACGCUGGCGGCAGGCUUAACACAUGCAAGUCGAACGCCCCGCAAGGGGAGUGGCAGACGGGUGAGUAACGCGUGGGAACGUGCCCUUCGCUUCGGAAUAGCCCCGGGAAACUGGGAGUAAUACCGGAUACGCCGUAUUGGGAAAGAUUUAUCGGCGAAGGAUCGGCCCGCGUUGGAUUAGCUAGUUGGAGGUGUAAUGGACCCCCAAGGCUACGAUCCAUAGCUGGUCUGAGAGGAUGAUCAGCCACACUGGGACUGAGACACGGCCCAGACUCCUACGGGAGGCAGCAGUGGGGAAUCUUGGACAAUGGGCUCAAGCCUGAUCCAGCCAUGCCGCGUGAGUGAAGAAGGCCUUAGGGUUGUAAAACUCUUUCGCCGGAGAAGAUAAUGACGGUAUCCGGAGAAGAAGCCCCGGCUAACUUCGUGCCAGCCGCCGCAGUAAAAC